UACUGAGUAUUCUCUAAACAACCAGAUAGAUAUUCGAAGACUCCGUACCUUUCAGAAGUUUAUAGAGAUUGGCAUUGACAUCAACCAGAUAAUCAAGAGUUAAAAAGGUGAUCCACUGUGUGAUACAUAAGACAAGUGUCCUUCAUAAGAAAAUUGUAAGUGUCUAUUGAUGGAAAUGCUUCUCUUUAGGGAGUUCUUUUUCUUCUCUGGAGCUUUCUAGGACACAGAACUUUAUGAUGGAUAAACCAAGGGAAAGAGGAGAACAGACACCAGAAACUGGCCAUGGGAAGAGUUCUCAAUAGGGCUGAUGCUAACAAGCUCAGUGAUACUUGGUCCCUGCACCAAGACCUUGGCUGACAAGAAAAACCUCCAUGCAAUGGUGAUGGGUAUCUCAUUCAACCCAGCAUUCGCUUUAUCUUUGCCAGAAAGUUCCAGUGAUGGUUUAUAAAUAAGACCCCCAAACUUUACUCUUUAUUUGGUAUAGUGCCAGUAAACAUACUAACUUAGAGCGUAGAAUAUUCUUGGUCUACAAUUAAAACCACAUUUAAAUUUAU
rnacentral:lncRNA from 1 species